rnacentral:piRNA from 1 species
UGGACAGUGUGAUCCUUGUUUGUGCUAGC